GACGAACGCUGGCGGCGUGCUUAACACAUGCAAGUCGAACGGAAAGGCCCUGCUUUUGUGGGGUGCUCGAGUGGCGAACGGGUGAGUAACACGUGAGUAACCUGCCCUUGACUUUGGGAUAACUUCAGGAAACUGGGGCUAAUACCGGAUAGGAGCUCCUGCUGCAUGGUGGGGGUUGGAAAGUUUCGGCGGUUGGGGAUGGACUCGCAGCUUAUCAGCUUGUUGGUGGGGUAGUGGCUUACCAAGGCUUUGACAGGUAGCCGGCCUGAGGGGGUGACCGGCCACAUUGGGACUGAGAUACGGCCCAGACUCCUACGGGAGGCAGCAGUGGGGAAUAUUGCACAAUGGGCGGAAGCCUGAUGCAGCAACGCCGCGUGCGGGAUGACGGCCUUCGGGUUGUAAACCGCUUUCGCCUGUGACGAAGCGUGAGUGACGGUAAUGGGUAAAGAAGCACCGGCUAACUACGUG
rnacentral:rRNA from 1 species